GACCAAUUCAGUUGGAGCGUUGAAGAUAUCAUCUUGCUGCUCUCUUUGGGUCUAUAAAUAGUGACUUCAAGAGAUCUCAUCAUCAUCAUCAACAACAACUCUUUUUGGUAUCUCUCUACACCUAAUAAUCACUAAGUUCUCAGUAUAUAUAUAAAGAGAUCUAAAGUAGUCAGAGCUACAAUGAUCAUCAUUAAACUCUUGUUCAGUUUUAAACCAAGUUCUUGAUGUCCAUCAGAGGUUUGUGUCAGGUUCUUUUAUUGUUUCAUAUUGGUUUAAAUUGAUUUCUAAUGGUUUGGGAGGCAUUGAUAUAUAGUGUUGACAGAAGAUAGAGAGCACAGAUGAUGAGAUACAAUUCAGAUCAGUUUCUUUGCAUCUUACUCCUUUGUGCUCUCUAGCCUUCUGUCAUCAUCUUUUAUUUGCUUUAUCCUCUCUCUUUUCUUUCUUUUUUUUCUCUAAAAGUUUUUAUAUAUUUUAUCUUUUAUAAGAAUUUAUAACUCAAUAUUACAUCCACUUUGAUUGGAACAAUUCUGAAUUUAUAAAAGUCAGAACACAUGCCAGUUUGGUAUAUAUUAUAAUCUUGUAUUGGUUUCCUCGGGAUUGCAAACAAAUUCUAAAAAAAAACUAAUUUCUGAAAUUUUGUUACUUUCUUUUUUUGUUCAAUUACGGUCUACCACAAGAUAUGACUUCUCUCUUUCUUGUGAAUUUGUGUAACGUUCUUUCUGUGAUGAAUCAGCUUUUUGGUAAAAGAAAAACAAAAGAUGAAAAGAGGUUCUAAAGAAAAAUUACGGAACAUUUUGAUGAGAUUUGAUUUUAGAAAUUUAUAUUUACUCAAUUGAAAUUUGUAAAAAUCGAAUUAGUAUUGGCAUAUUCGUAAUACAUAACAAAAAUGAUAUUUAAGUUUUCAAAAAAAAUGUUUUUGAGGAAUGGUGAGGUGUAGUGAAAUUUCAGCAAAUUUCUAAAUAUAACUUCUCUUAUAGUUAGUUAUAUAUUUUAGACUUUUUUUUCGUUUUGUUUACAAAAUGUUGCGAAUUAUAGAUUAACUUUUAGUUGUGAGUUUAGACCAUUAGACAGGUUUAGGUGUAUAUAUUCCAGUAUUCGUAUUGUAUUUUGUGCUUAUUAAGUGUAUACAGUGGGAUCAUGAAGUUAAGAGAUAGUUAAAAAGGAGCCAAAUGAGAUGAAGGAAAGACCAAGAGAACGAUUUCAAGAAUGAAUCUGUAAUUAUUUUUAGAUCUUGUAUGAAUCUUGAAUUCUUGAUUAUUUUUAUGUAAUCUAAACUUUGUUUUUUUCUUGUCUAUAAUCUCUAAUUAAUCUAACAUAACUAUGUAAGAAUCUUUAUAGAUCUUUGAGCUUUCAUGGGGAUCCGAUAAAUGAGUAGUCUUUCAAAAUCCUUUGGAUAUGGUAGAUUAGGUUAGGCUGAUUAAUUAUGAGGUUUAGGCUUAGAAUUUAAUUCAUCUUUGUUUAUUAGAUUAUGUAAUUUAUGUUAAUGUUAGAG
rnacentral:lncRNA from 1 species